AGCCACGUCCAUUUCUGUCCUGGUAGCCAGGGCUUGGUCAGGCAGGGGAGAGACCCAGAGUGAAAAGAAUCAGAGAUUGGGCUAAGCUGAGUAGCACACUAAGACAUGCACAAUCAGGAAGGGAUGAAGAAUGGAAUUAAGAAGCCCUGUGCAUCAGAAAGCGGCUGAAUUCUGUGUGAAUCCUCCCAAAGCACACCUUCCCUUAAAG
rnacentral:lncRNA from 1 species